rnacentral:rRNA from 1 species
AACGCUGGCGGCAUGCCUAACACAUGCAAGUCUAGGGGUAGCAAUACCACUGGCGCACGGGUGAGUAACACGUAGGUUAUCUGCCCCCAUCACAGACAUAACCCCGGGAAACCGGGGCUAAUAUCUGAUGAGGUCGCGAGAUCAAAGCUUCGGCGGAUGGGGAUGAGCCUGCGGCUGAUUAGCUAGUUGGUGAGGUAAUGGCUCACCAAGGCGACGAUCAGUAGCUGGUCUGAGAGGACGAACAGCCACACUGGAACUGAGACACGGUCCAGACUCCUACGGGAGGCAGCAGUGAGGAAUAUUGGUCAAUGGGAGCAAUCCUGAACCAGCAAUGCCGCGUGUGGGAUGACAGGGCUUCGCCUUGUAAACCACUGUCGGACGGGACGAAAGGAGGCCUCGGGCCUCUGGGACGGUACCGUCAAAGGAAGGGUCGGCUAACUACGUG